UGCACUUCACCCACAUCUCCCUCUUCC
rnacentral:misc_RNA from 1 species